rnacentral:misc_RNA from 1 species
GAUUGGGUCACGUGAGUACACGGAAGUCGGGGUUUCCAACAAAUUUUCAAACUUUUAUCUUUACUUGUAUUUUUAUCAUUUGAUGGUCCAUCUAGAUGAUUUUAAGGAUUUAGUUUCUGCUGAUAUAACUGAAAGAGCACGCUGAAUUCCAUCAGUGACAAUUUGAUUUUAAAGAUACAUUAUGGGAUUUCUCGGUAAUCUCUGAUGUAACAUCAUCCGGAGUGGCGUCAUAUUCUCAGAAAAGACAUUUGACUUGGCUUUAAAAGUUGAAAACCCAUGAUCUAAUAAAAUGAUGGCCACUGGAAGUCCACCAGACGAAACUAUCGAUUGGCAGGAAGCGGGCUUAAAUAUACAAGGAGAUCAGUCUCUACCAAACAUGGCUGGUAUCAAAUCCUCGGAGCGAUCGCCUCUUCUUGGGGCUCCGGCAUCCAAUCAGAAUGCAGACUAUAAUGGUAACCCUGCUUCAGAAGAUAAUGAUGACACUCUCAUUGACUUCAUGCAAAUAAAUCGUCACCAAGCGAUGAUGCAUUUAUUGAAAGGCAACAUUGGAACUGGGAUCAUGGCAAUGCCGUCUGCCAUUGCAAAUGCAGGAUUAUGGGUGGGGAGUAUAGGUUUAGCUAUUAUAAGUGUCAUCACAAUACAUUGUAUGCAUCUACUUGUCAACUGUGCCCAUCAUCACAGAGUGACUAAUAAAGUACCUAGGGGCCAAAGCAGGCAACUUGACUAUGGGGCAUGUGGUGAGAUAGCCUUACGUCAUGGGCCAAUAGUCUGGCUUAGAAAUCACGCACAAAUAGGAAGAAUAACCGUGAAUGUUUUUCUCAGCAUCACACAAUUUGGCUUCUGCUGUGUGUACAUACUCUUUAUUGCAAAGAAUGUUAAAGAUGUGUUUGACUAUGCGUUCGCUUAUGAGCUUCCAGUACUCGCAUACCAGGCCAUAGUAACAGUUUUCUUACUACCAUAUUGUUGUAUACGACAAAUGCGACACUUAGCAUAUUUCUCUACAAUAGCAAAUGUCUUAACAAUAGCAGGACUUUCCAUCACAUUUUGGUACUGUUUUACACACUUAAAGCAUAUUGACAAAUACCCAGCCUUUAACUCAUGGGGAACUCUGCCACUCUACUUCGGGACUGCCAUGUAUGCUUUUGAAGGAAUAGGAGUGAUCCUACCGAUUGAGAACAAAAUGGCCGUUCCUGACUAUCUACGUGGUUGUAAUGGAGUUCUGAAUGUUGGCAUGGUGAUUGUUACAUGCCUAUAUAUAUCACUUGGUUUCUAUGGUUACCUGACAUUUGGACCUGAAGCAUGUGAUGUAUUGGGAAGUAUAACCUUGAACCUUCCUUCUAAAAAUUGGUUGUAUUUGGCUGUUCGUCUGAAGUUUUCCAUAGCAAUCUUUAUAUCCUAUGGAUUGCAAUUUUACGUCCCGUUAGAGUUCAUGUGGCCACCUAUUAAUGAGAAAUAUGGCGAUCACUAUCCAUGGUUGAGAAAGUAUGGGGAAUAUAUAUUAAGAUGUCUACUAGUCUUAUUAACAUUUGGAAUAUCAGCUUCUAUACCCCACCUGGACUUACUUAUAGCAUUAGUAGGGGCCUUAGCCAGUAGUGCGCUUGCACUCAUCAUUCCCCCAAUGUUGGAGUUAUUCACUCGCUGGGAUGGAGAAUUAGGACGUUACAACUGGGUGCUAUGGAAAGAUGUCGCUAUUAUCAUUUUUGGACUAAUUGGAUUCGUAGCGGGAACUGCAGUGUCAUUAAUGUCAAUUAUACAAAAGUUUUAAAACUUUUUAAACACUACAUAUAUGUGUACUGUAGCUAUAUGCUGAUAUUCCGGUUUUCAAUUGAUCAAAUAUUGUUCUGCUCCGUAACCAUUAGGCUAACCAUUAAACGCUCCUAUUACAAGUUUUCAUUUUUGUGGAUAAUGCUAUUAAUGGAGCUAAAAUGUUGGACCAGUAGGACUAAAAAGUAGGAGUGGUUUCAGCUUAAUUGGGGGAUAGAGUUGUCACAUGGUAUUUAUUCUGCUAUUGAUAUGUUUCUGUUGUCUUGUUUUAGUGUUAAGUUUAUAUUUUACUGAAAAUGUAUUUGAUGGUUAAAGGAAAUACUGUAAAUUACUUUAAUUUGACAGCCGUUUUAAUUUGGCUGAUUUUGCAUAUUGAUAAAAACUGCCAAAUUAAUAUAAGUCU